rnacentral:lncRNA from 1 species
UGGAAAUGUAUCAGCUGUGAAAACAUUAUAGCCUGAGGUAGCAGCAACUUCCGUACCAAGAAGUGAUUGUGUCAGCAUUGAAUAUGCUACAUUUCUAUACAUUCUGAUGCCAGCAGGAUGCCUACUGCCUCACUUAUUGGGGCAAAAAUCGUAAAUGCGCAUUCUUCAUGAAUUUGCCAUCGUGACUUAUCCAUCUCUGUCUUUGUUAACAGGAUUCUUACCCUCCAUCUUCCCUUAUCUCUGGUGAUUCAACGUGGUAUAAUGUGAUACAGGAACAUCAGUGGCGCCAGUGAGAUAAAGCAUGGGAUUGCCCCCCGGAGACAGGAACCACACUCCUAUUCCUGAGGUUGAGGUCCCUGGCCCCAGAGGGCCACAUGAUAGACGGCUAGAAGCUAGCUCUGAGGUAAAUUGUGGAGCGGGCCUGAAGGGCAUCAUAACUAAACUUGUCCUUUCUGCACAUUGUAGAUCCAGCCUGACAGGUAGUAAUGGAGUCUGAAGAGACAGAGCUGAGAGAUUGUGAUGAGGCCUUUGAGUCAGAAGAGGGCGAUGUGGAGCCAUACCUGGAGGAGCCGGCGAGCAGCAGGGAGCUCCUAGAGAGGCUCAGGGAGCUGGAGGUGAGACCCAGGGAGAAAGAGGGCAGGGCUGGGGAACACAAGACUGUGGGCUGUAUAC